rnacentral:rRNA from 1 species
UACGAAGGGGGCUAGCGUUGCUCGGAAUCACUGGGCGUAAAGGGUGCGUAGGCGGGUCUUUAAGUCAGGGGUGAAAUCCUGGAGCUCAACUCCAGAACUGCCUUUGAUACUGAAGAUCUUGAGUUCGGGAGAGGUGAGUGGAACUGCGAGUGUAGAGGUGAAAUUCGUAGAUAUUCGCAAGAACACCAGUGGCGAAGGCGGCACUCUGGGACGUGACUGACGCUGAGACGCGAAAGCGUGGGGAGCAAACAGG